AUACGGGGGGAGCAAGCGUUGUCCGGAAUCACUGGGCGUAAAGGGCCUGUAGGCGGGUUGGUCAGUCAGAUGUGAAAGCCUGCGGCUUAACCGUAGAAAUGCAUUUGAAACUGCCGGCCUUGAGUGCGAGAGAGGGUAGUGGAAUUCCCAGUGUGGCGGUGAAAUGCGUAGAUAUUGGGAAGAACACCAGUAGCGAAGGCGGCUACCUGGCUCGCAACUGACUCUAAUGCGCGAAAGCGUGGGGAGCGAACAGGAUUAGAAACCCGAGUAGUCC
rnacentral:rRNA from 1 species